rnacentral:rRNA from 1 species
AAGACCUUGCGCUUUUGGAGCGGCCGAUGUCUGAUUAGCUAGUUGGUGGGGUAAUGGCCUACCAAAGCUUCGAUCAGUAGCUGGUCUGAGAGGACGGCCAGCCACACUGGGACUGAGACACGGCCCAGACUCCUACGGGAGGCAGCAGUGGGGAAUUUUGGACAAUGGGCGCAAGCCUGAUCCAGCCAUGCCGCGUGAGUGAAGAAGGCCUUCGGGUUGUAAAGCUCUUUCAGCCGGGAAGAAAAGGUUGCGAUUAACAAUCGCAAUUGAUGACGGUACCGGAAGAAGAAGCACCGGCUAACUACGUGCCAGCAGCCGCGGUAAUACGUAGGGUGCGAGCGUUAAUCGGAAUUACUGGGCGUAAAGGGUGCGCAGGCGGUUUUGUAAGUCAGAUGUGAAAUCCCCGGGCUUAACCUGGGAACU